GGAAUAUACACUGAAGACUCAAAGGUUGCCUGAUACAGUACUGAGAAUGGAUGAAAAUUUGUGUGCUUAUUCAGUCUUUCAUUUCCCUACAGUUGCUUUAGGAAGAACAACACCAUCCAACUGCAACUAACAGUUGUAUUCAAUCAUGAUAUGAAUUUUCAUUCUGGAGUGGCAAGACUCAAGUUCUCCUACAUUUCUGACAGGUUUCAUCACAAAGACUGAGAUAGAAUCAGGUGCUCCAGGAAGUGAAGAGCUAAUCACACUGAAAAAAAAUGACAAAAUACAAGAAAAUCAAUGAAUCAACUUCCCUAGGCUUCAAAGGAAGAUGUGAAUGGAAAAGCAAAGCAACAAAUCUAAGAUGAAAGCAUUCUCAGGAAUGUUACAUUGUAUUCAGGGACAUAUGUUGUGGCUAAAGAACAGUUUCUGAGUUAGAGAACAUAUCUGCUUGAAGUAUUCUUGUGAAGAGUGGACACAGAGAUAAUGCUAUUCUACCUAUGCAUGUAUGUCAGGACCUGAUGACUCAGACAGAAAUAUAACAUUUUCCUUUUUCAUGGUAUAUACUUAAUGUCAGAACAUGAAUACUUUUUAUUAGAAGAAUUAAACAGCAUGUUUCAAAGAAGUAUGUGGAAUAACAAAUUAUUUCCUCAAGGGAUUCACCCAGUACAAGGAGCCCUGGUUGUCAGAGACAUGCAUAGUUGCAUAACUUUUAAUUUCAAUGGAAAUUAUUCCCUAAGCAUAACAGGGAGAGAUGUGGAUCUUGCCUUCCUAAUGCAUCCUUGAGUAGUGAAAUACUAGAAGUAGAAAUUAGAAGGUAUGAGUUAAAAUAAAGAAAUUCUACUGCAAAUAUACACCCCCUAAAGCUUGUAUUUUUAAACAUUGUAGUCUGUCUAUACCACCUGGUAAUUGAUUUAAUAAUCCAUUUUCAUACAAGCAAAAAAAGAAGUAUGAGGUGACUAGCUACUUUAGCAAAUGACUAUAACAUCAAACUUACAGUUUGAGCUAGUUGUAGCUACAGUAUAAUGCAACUAUUGUUCUAUAUAAUUCCAUUAAGACAUUACUCACUGCAUUAGACCAUUACUAUCAUUAGUUGCCUCUGCCAAGCCAAUGUUGUCAUAUCAGUUUGAGUUUGUCCUAGAGUUAGGAAAUCCAUAAUAAUCCAUAAUAUCCAUAACACCUUCAAAUGUAAUUGAAUGAAUUGUAUUGAAUUUUCAUGUGUUGUGAAAGACACAGAAGUAUGCUGAGAUUCUAAUUUUCAGGGAUCUGUUGUUUUUGUACAGAAUUUUGCCCUUUGAGUGUAUCUUGAAAGAUAUUUUCCAGGGAAAUUAGUCUUCUGCACAAUAGGAACACAGCUCAGUAUCUCUCCAGCACUCAGUGAUGUGUAUCCAAAUCUCUGUAAAACUCAUUCUGUACAGUCACUGAUGUAUUUGCAGUUCUCUACAGCAGCUGCUGACAGAUAACCAGUUAUUUCACUAUGAAACCUAUAAUAACUGUUUCUUUCCCAGUGAAACUUUGUCAAAACUGGUACCUAGAUACUGUGAUUGCUGCUGUACAAAUAGCUAUAACUGAUAAAGAAAACUAGCCUAAGCACUAUGCUACUUCUUCUGUAGAAGCAUGUGUACACAAAUGGCUAAAAAUCCUGAUAGUUUCUCACAUUUACAUGUGGGUUUUUUGUUUGUUUGUUUGCUUGCUUGCUUUUUAAUCCUCAGUAGUGUUACAUUUACACUGUCUUACAUUUCAAUCUGUCUUUGCUGUUCUAAUCCCACAUGACUCUUCUCUAAAAGGCAGCAUAAUUUUAAAGAUUUUUAAGUAUAAAUAUAAACGAUGUUGUAUGCAUGUAUAAAUAAUUUUAAAAUUAUGUACUUUUCUGACUGAGAUGCAGAGUGCUACCAUGCAAAUCCAUAGUAAUGAGAAGGAGGGCUCUCACCUUCUUAUCUCUUGUCACUCUUCUCCAUUCUUUUCCCCCAAAUAAAUCAAAUACAAC
rnacentral:lncRNA from 7 species